AUAUAUACUUUAUGGGGUCGGAAACGCUUCCUUCUGCCUGUUACAUACUUUCCAACGAAUCUAGUAUACCCUUUUACUCUACAAGUAACGGGUAUAACUACCAAAAGAUGCGUUCUCACUAUAUGAAUAAAGAAUAUUAAAACUACCAAUACAAGGCGUUUCACACAACAUGGCGACUGUGACUUUGGUCCAAAAGGAUCUGGACCUGGAUCUGGACUUCAAAAAAUAAGAAGACAGCAACAAAGGCGACAACAGCAACAAAGGCAACAACAGCAACAACAAAGGCAACAACAGCAACAACAAAGGCAACAACAGUAACAACAGCAAAAACGGCAACAACAACAGCUUACACUACAAGAACAAGAGAAGAAACGCAAAAAAGUUGCCAUCCCAAAGCUGAAGAAGACGUGCCCGGAUGACUGCGAGGGACCACUGUACUCCCCCUUCUGCGAGUACACCUGUGUAGCCAGCACCGGUGCCCCACCAUGAAGUACACCUGUGCAGCCAGCACCGGUACCAAGGAAGAGUGAACCGACAGCGCUACCAAGAGCGCAUAAUUUUUUUUUCUUUGCACUGCGUUGCAAAAAUUUUUUUAAUUGCACUGCGAUACAUAUUUUUUUAUUUAUUUUAUAAAAACAAAUUUAAAAAUUGAGCGACAUAAAAGUGGCCCGAGAGUAUGGCCUGAAAACCAUACACAAAAUAGGCAGAAAAUUAUAUGUCAAAUAUAAUAAUAAUUGGUCAAAAACAAAAAAAAAAUCAAAUCAAAAUUAAUCAUAUCAAACUAGUUGUUUAUGAAUAACAUUAACAACAUUUACGAAUCAAUUCAAAAAUCUAAAGUAUUUGACAGACCAAGAUACACUGCGCGUCAUCAGAUUAGCGCCCCCCUUUUGGUUUUACUUUAUUGCAUCUAUCUCUGUUUCUAUUGCACGCAACUUCAAAAUUUUUGUUGUUGCUCUUAAAGUGCACAAAUUGUCGCUCUCUGAGAGAAAUACCGUUAGGUGAGAGAUUCCGUUAUCUAUUUUUUCUUUAUUUUGUUUUACUUUCGCUGCAAAAGCUUGCACUGAUUUUGCGUCAUCAGAUUAGCGCCUGUAAAUUCAAAUUUAGUUAUCUCGCGUAAUUUUUGGCGUACAGUUGUGAAAUUUUUUGUGCUGUGACAAUUAUUCAAUUAUUGUUUAUAAACUGAGAAUAAAAAUGGGUAACGGAACUGUCCUAUCUUUAGAAGAAAAAUUUAAGAUCGAAGCCUUUAGUGAAAGUGGCUUAUCUUAACAUAAAAUUGCUGAAAAAAUGGGAAGGCAUCGAAAACUAUAGCCAAUUUUCUUAAAAAUAAACAAGGCUAUGGUAAAAAUAUGAAAGGCGGUAACAACAGAGUUCUUUCCGAAGCAGACAUUCAGUCUAUAGUUAGACAUGCGUCUAAUUCACACGACUCUUUUACCAAAAUUAAAGAAAAAAGCGGUGUGGAAGCUAGCUACGAGUCAUAAAAAAAGCAGAACACUUGAAAAGACUAAAACUAAAAAAAAACCACAACUAAAUAAGUUACGAAAGGAAAUGCGCCUAAAUUUUGCUCGCUCGCAUAUGACAUGGUCGAAGGAGUGGCGCUUUGUAGUCUUUUCCGAUGAAAAAAAAUUUAAUUUAGAAGGCCCUGACGGCUAUAAUUAUUAUUUCCAUGACAUGCGUAAAGAAGAGCAUAUUUUAGAUCGUUUACAUAGCCGGGUAGGUGGCGUAAUGGUAUGGGGAGCCAUAUCCUAUUAUGGCACCUAUGAGUUACAAUUUCUCACCCCGAAAAUGAACGCCGUGGCGUAUAAUAAUCUUUUGGAAAUCUUAAAUGGCGUUUUCAACACGACAACGCUCCAAUCCACACUGCCCGAUCUGUAAAAUCGUGGAUACAGGGCCAAAACGUUGAUGUCCUGGAGUGGCCGCCGUACUCUCCGGACUUAAAUAUAAAAGAGAACGUGUGGGGAUGGCUCUCGAGAAAAGUAUACGAGUCUGGAAAGCAGUAUAGUACAAAAUUGGAGUUCAUCGACGGGAUUAAAGAAGCUUGGUCCUCAAUAUCAUUACAAUACAUUGAGAAAUUGUACGAGUCACUUCCCAGCAGGAUCUGUGAGGUCCUGGAAAAUGGGGGCGGGACCACCCACUAUUAAUUUGAUUAGAAAAUAAGUAAAUAAUAAGAUAAAACAUAAAACACUACUAGUUGUUAAGCAUUAAGUGAAAAUUCAUUAAAUUUAAGCAGGGGGCGCUAAUCUGAUGACGCAAAAUUAAAUUCAUAUUUUUGGUAUACAUUUUCGUUUUUAAUAAAUAAAAUAUUAUUGUUGUACUUAUCAUUAUGUACCUUAUCUUAUUUUGAAGAAUAUUAUUAAAAGUAUCGUCAAAAAAAAUUUUUAUGGCUUAAGCCUUGAUAGAUUGGAUAAUAUUGAACAUUACACGAGAAUGCUCAGGGGGCGCUAAUCUGAUGACGCGUAGUGUAUAUAUUAAGAAUACCAACCCCAAAGAUGGGUUUAAUAGAUACAAAAACAGUGGAUUCCACUGCAAAUGUUAUUAAUAAGGUAGAGUCAAACACCAUUGACUUAGAAUUAAUUCAUACAUUGCUAAUAAUAAUUGUUGUUAUAAUGUGCGCAAACUGUUUCUAUGAACUUUAUAAAUUGCAUAAUAAAUGUCUUAAGAAAAAAUA